GACAGAGGUGCCGAGCGUUAGGCGGAAUCACUGGGCUUAAAGCGUGUGUAGGCGGGCGGGCAAGUACCUUGUGAAAUCCCACGGCUCAACCGUGGAACGGCUGGGUAUACUGCCUGUCUUGAGCCAACUAGGGGCGAGCGGAACAGACGGUGGAGCGGUGAAAUGCGUAGAUAUCGGUAGGAACACCAGUGGCGAAGGCGGUUUCCUGGAGCUAACUUGACGCUGAGACGCGAAAGCUGGGGGAGCAAACGGG
rnacentral:rRNA from 1 species